AGGUCUGUGCAUUGAAUUCGGUGGAUGUGCACCUUGAAAGAAACUGUAUACGUGGUUCUCAUCUUCUUCCGACUUACUGACAGGUGUAUAUCUGCACGGAGAAUCCAAUGACGGCUGUAAUGAAUGGCUAGCUCGUACACUUUACAAUGUGCAUUCAGACAGGUUCCCGACUUCUAGACGGUCUGAGAAUUCUAAGCACAGAUUGCAAUGUGCAAAGAUUUAAAACACACCUUAGGCGAUGCAGGUAAAUAGACAAGGGUGCAAAAUUGCAAACCUGUGGUUGUUAAAUUACUCUCUGUCUAGCUGG
rnacentral:lncRNA from 1 species